AUUGAACGCUGGCGGCAUGCUUUACACAUGCAAGUCGAACGGUAACAGGCCGCAAGGUGCUGACGAGUGGCGAACGGGUGAGUAAUGCAUCGGAACGUGCCCAGUCGUGGGGGAUAACUACUCGAAAGAGUAGCUAAUACCGCAUACGAUCUAUGGAUGAAAGCGGGGGACCGUAAGGCCUCGCGCGAUUGGAGCGGCCGAUGUCAGAUUAGGUAGUUGGUGGGGUAAAGGCUCACCAAGCCAACGAGCUGUAGCUGGUCUGAGAGGACAACCAGCCACACUGGGACGGAGACACGGCCCAGACUCCUACGGGAGGCAGCAGUGUGGAAUUUUGGACAAAGGGCGCAAGCCUUAUCCAGCAAUGCCGCGUGCAGGAAGAAGGCCUUCGGGUUGUAAACUGCUUUUGUACGGAACGAAACGGCUCUGGUUAAUACCCGGGGCUAAUGACGGUACCGUAAGAAUAAGCACCGGCUAACUACGUG
rnacentral:rRNA from 1 species